UAAUAAUAUCUGCCGAAUUCCCGAAAGGGAAGUGGGGGAACCAGUCUUGGGUGAAUUGAUCUUGCAACAGAGGGAUCAUAGGGAACCUUCAACCGAAUCCUUAAGCUAACCUCGCAGGCAACGGAAGGAGUUAAC
rnacentral:sRNA from 1 species